rnacentral:ncRNA from 2 species
GCUGCGGACACGGGGUGCGCCGCCGGCGCUGAGAUCAGACCCGUGGAACCUGCUCCAGCUCGCACUGGCGAAGGGAUGUCCCUGAUGAGCUCC